CGAUCGCAUGCAUCACACUUGCAACACUGGGAGGCGAACGUGCUCUGACCUUUUCGCACAUCCACAUCCAUACCGCAGGCCAGCACGGCCUCGACUUCUUCUGAGUCUCCCUUCAUCCGUUUCUGGAGCACGCGCACACGAAACACCGAACCGCAUCGGAGCGCUCGCUGCCCUUGAGGUUGCGCGCUGUAGUACCUUCUCCUGCUCUUCCGUCGGCCCAGCUAGCCGUCACACACGUAGACAGGGGGUGGUGCGCGGCGCCUUGCCGCUUCUCUGCAACCGUGAGGAAGGCGGAGGAGGCGUGACAACGAACGGCAACCAUCAGAGGGCGCAUAGAGAAGAGGGGGUGAGCGUGAGCGCGCAACAGGCAGACCACCUGUAGCGGUGUCGAAGACGCAGAGGCGCCCCGCGUGGGGAGCGGAGCUGGGCCCCAUAGUUUGUGAAGAAAGGGCCGCAUCUUCCGAGAACACUCGCUAGCACGUACAACGCACACCGGCGCAUCGACCCAUCGGACGUGUGCGGUCAUGCAGUAAGGGGGAGGGGAGAGGCAUCGCAGAGACAGAGUUGAAGUACACUGGAGUCCGAUACGAGCAGCACCGCACAACGAAGGACGGGACGUGUUGUGGCAUCUGCAGAGGGGUGCUACCUUGCCAAGCCGCGCCCUUCUACUGCCCCCCACCCCCCUCAUGCUCGCUUUCGCCGACUUCCUGGUAAUAGAGAAGGUGGGAAACUGGUAGAUGAACCCUCUGGCCUUUGAUGGUGACGGCGGUCUGCCGCGGCUGCAGCGACGUAGCUCAUUCGGACAGAACGGCACAUAUGCUGGAAAUGCAGCAGGGCACGUUGCCUACACAACGGCGCAGUUGCCAGAGCCACUCUCACCGCUCUCCAGCUGCGUAGAAGUGGAAGCAAUGCAUGUGAUGGCGCACCGCAUCCUGCGGCCUCGCUCCGAUGGUGUCCGCUGCGCUGCGCGAGGAUUCGUCGUGACAGUUGGCGGCGACGAUGACACCGUGGACGUGAACACGAGCAGUGCCUCCAGCUUGACCACCUCGCCGCAAUGGCACCGCCACAACCCCUACCGUACGCUUUCUACCGCCACCUCCACCCCAGCCCACUCGCCCCGCGCGGAUGACUCUGGAGGUCGUCUUACACUGCCGGGCAGCCUCGUCGGCAGCAGCGGCAACGGAUCCGCACUGGCGUCGCAGCACCUAAACGUGGUUUUUCACCGGCACGCAUCUCGCGGCACCGUGUCUGCCGCGUCCGGCAGCGAGGCCUCGUACCGCCCGCAGCAAGCAUCAUCGCACCCAUCCGGGCACGCGCACUACACCCUUCUCUCCCCGAAGACUUCUCAGCCGCAAGAAGCGCUCUCGCGUACGUCUUCUGCCAGCCGCGCGAGCAGUCACUACAGCGGUGGCAACUGGCGCAACAGCAGCGCCGGCCUCCUGCCCGACGUGGACGUGGUGGAGGGUACCACCUCGAACUCUGGUGUGCUCCUCAUGCACGACUACCAGUUCCGCCUCAACAGGUAUGGUCGGAGCAGGGCGGCAUCGUCGUCUGUAACGACGCCGCAAUCGUACGCCACCGCCGAUCAUUUCUUUGAAGAGACAGGCGGCUUCGCCGUCGAUGCCGACUACGGCACCGGCAGCGACAGCCGGCGGCGCUCCGCUGCCUCGCACAGCUCCCCGGGUGACGUGAACCAUCGCCACCGGAGUGGCGGCGUUGAAGGCGGAUACGGCGGCGGCGGCACCGCAGCCGCUCCAGCUCCUCUUCUUCUGUCCAGCCUUGGCCGCUGCGCGAGCGCGUCCUUUUCGGAAAGUAGUGUGUGUGACCAGGGCCCCACGGAGUCGAUGGGCACCUCUGGCACCGCGCGGACGGACACGAACGGCGGGCAGACCGGGGCAUCGACAGCGCAGAGGUCUCACAGACCCACAAAGCCAUCCUCCGUGAUUUCCUCGAUUGAGGCGAGUCACCGGCCGCCGCAGGAUUGGCCCAGCGCCGAGCCAAGUGACAGCGACAGUGUGCCCAUCACACCGUUUCACGCGGACCCCACGUUGGCGCCGGCAGACCAGCCCGCCGCGGAGCAGCACAGCUAUGCCUACCACCCUCAGCAUCAGCGACAUCAACCGCGACUCAAGCCGAGCACUGACGCUGCAGCUCUGCCGCCUGCCACUGGCUCGGCUGCAGCCCCGAGUUUCACCGUCACCCAGCUCACCGAGAUGCUGGACGCGCACCGGGCACGUGCGCGCAGCGGCAGCGACGGCGGUGGCGGUGGUGACGGCGAGGAGGGAGACGAGGUUUGGUGCCCGGCAGGGUCACAGCUCUCCGUCUACGAUUCUGACAUGCGACAACACUACCGGAUCAAGAGCGAGCAAGUUGCCAUCACGCGUGGCGCCAUUAAGUACGCCUCCCUGAACGAGCGCUACGGCAACCGCAUGCGUUUUCGCUUUCAGCUGUGCAAUCGCUAUCUGCGCCACCGCUGCUCCAGCGCGGCGAAGUGCCCGUACAUCCACAGCCUUGUCGUCUCCACGGCGACGCAGGUGCACAUGAACGAAAACAGCAUCACCACCUCUGGCGUGCGUCAGAUGAACCGUGAGGAGCUUGCUGGGGGGCGCAACACGCUCGAGUAUCCCACGAUAGCCACAGGCAUGAUCUUUGCCGUGUACCCGCCAAACCAGCCGAAUAGCUCCCCGCAGCUCAUACCGUCGGAGCUCAUCCUGCAGACCGAGGGUGCCUUGCAUACGUACCAUGCGCUCAGUGGCGACGCGGCCGGUGGUGCGACCCACGACACUCAGACCGCCAUCGUGCGCCCGCGACACUGCGCGCACUUUCAGUUCAAGCGCAUGUGCAACCUGGGCACCUCCUGCCACUUUAUCCACUCGCUGAUCCCGUUUGUGCAGCGGCUGGUUAACCAGCCACCGCUGCCGCUGAGUGUAGACUUGAGCGCCCUCACCAGCAGCGUUGCCGGCGUCGUUCUCCCGGCUGCUGCGCUUGACGCGGUCGGCCCCGGCGGCGAGGAGGUGAUGAGCGGAGGCAGUGGUGCACGGGUGGCGAACAUAGCGGCGCCGCCACAGAUGCAGGGCCAAGUCAUCCCGCCUGUGUGCCCGCAGGCGGCGGAGGCGGCGCGGGAGGAGACGCGUCUACCGCCGCCGCCGCCACCACCAGCGCUCCUCUCUGGGCCUGCCGUGGCGAUGGCGCCAUGUGACCGAGCGAACACCUCGAACGGUGGAGAUGGCAACGCCACUCAGGCAACUGCGUGGAGGGGGGCGAAAAACGUCAGCGGCGCCGCGUUGUGCGAGGAAGGUGCGCUGCUGUAUCCGACGAUGGCCUCCGUUGGCGCUGCGGAGGCCAUGCGCCAACCAGCGGUGAUAAUGUCGCCUCCACACCGGAUGCAGCAAGGCGCCACCGUAGGAUUCUUCAACCAUCGCGUCAACACAGUGAAACAGCUUCCUGUACAGCGGCAACCACGACAGAAGCCGUUGCUUGUGGGAACGCCUUUAAUGCUGGUACGGGAACCGCAGGCGCAACCACUUCCGCCCACGCAGCAUCCUUUACUGCAGCGGUGGGGCUCAGCGGCGGCGGUGGUGGCGCCGCUUACCACUGGCACCGCCGUGCCGCUGCAGCACCCACCCACCGCCGCUGCGGUGCGUCGUGGGAACACACGGUGAUGAUUUUCGGAUUGCGGCAAUCCCCUAGCCGGGGGCUGUAGAUGGGCGCGAGGGACCUCGACAGCUUCGGCGUGUGCGUGUUGGGGGAGGGGGGCUGCGCAAUGCACCCUCCCGUGCUCUUCUUUCCUUCUUCCUCGUUUUGGUUGCUUCUCACGUCGCACCUCCAGCCGCGAGCGAUGCGUGCCGCGCAUCUCUGUGCUGCCACGCUUCUCGCUCCGUUUCGACGUCGUUGCAGCGAAACCCCUUCCCUCUUCUCUAUUCGCCUAUAUAUAUGUCUUUGUCUUUUCCCUUUCCGUACACCCUAGCACUCCUUCUCGCGCGUGUGUGUAGAUGUAGCUUGUGUGCGCGUGUGUGCGUCUGCAUACUGAUGAGUGCACACUUGUGCUUUUGGUGUAUAUACAUGCGUGUGUGUGUGUGUGUGUGUGUGCACUCGGCUGUGGGCCCGCGCGCGUCUCCUCACCACCCCCGACCUCCUGACCCCCUCGCCUCGUCAGUGUCAGUGAUGUACUCUGUGGUGCUUGAAACGGCGGUUGUUUUGUUUCGCUCGCCACGUGCCUCGCUUUCUCUCUCCAUCUCAGCGUUCCUCGCCGUUCUUCACCACACCACCCCCUCCCAUCGCCGCGCGUUCUCACAUGCUGAUGGUGCCCUCCCCCUCUCCACACACACACACACACACUUUCUCCGUACACGCAUUCCAUGCGCCCGUCGCCUCAG
rnacentral:misc_RNA from 1 species